GAUGAACGCUAGCGGCAGGCUUAAUACAUGCAAGUCGAGGGGCAGCGCAGUGUAGCAAUACAUGGGCGGCGACCGGCAAACGGGUGCGGAACACGUACGCAACCUACCCAAAACUGAUGAAUAGCCCUCCGAAAGGAGGAUUAAUACAUCGUAACAUAAUGAAGUGGCAUCACUUUAUUAUUAUAGCUCCGGCGGUUUUGGAUGGGCGUGCGCCUGAUUAGGUAGUUGGCGGGGUAACGGCCCACCAAGCCUGCGAUCAGUAACUGGUGUGAGAGCACGACCAGUCACACGGGCACUGAGACACGGGCCCGACUCCUACGGGAGGCAGCAGUAAGGAAUAUUGGUCAAUGGACGCAAGUCUGAACCAGCCAUGCCGCGUGAAGGAUGAAGGUCCUCUGGAUUGUAAACUUCUUUUAUAUGGGACGAAACCUCUUAUUCUUAAGAGACUGACGGUACCAUAGGAAUAAGCACCGGCUAACUCCGUGCCAGCCGCCGCCGUAAAAC
rnacentral:rRNA from 1 species